rnacentral:rRNA from 1 species
AACGAACGCUGGCGGCAGGCCUAACACAUGCAAGUCGAGCGAACCCUUCGGGGUUAGCGGCGGACGGGUUAGUAACGCGUGGGAAUAUACCCUUUGGUACGGAAUAGCCUCGGGAAACUGAGAGUAAUACCGUAUGUGCCCUUCGGGGGAAAGAUUAUCGCCAAAGGAUUAGCCCGCGUUGGAUUAGAUAGUUGGUGGGGUAAUGGCCUACCAAGUCUACGAUCCAUAGCUGGUUUGAGAGGAUGAUCAGCAACACUGGGACUGAGACACGGCCCAGACUCCUACGGGAGGCAGCAGUGGGGAAUCUUAGACAAUGGGCGCAAGCCUGAUCUAGCCAUGCCGCGUGGACGAUGAAGGCCUUAGGGUUGUAAAGUCCUUUCAGAUGGGAAGAUAAUGACGGUACCAUCAGAAGAAGCCCCGGCUAACUCCGUGCCA